GGCAAGAGGGUCUGGUAUUGGCAUAAGAGAUCGGAAACAAUGCAAGAUAAAGGUUGACUGUUCCUGGUUCGUGCCACAUUGGUUCCAUAGGUCUUCCACCUGCCUCAAAUUUCAUUACCGAUUCCAUGAUUCUAGGCCUGUCUGUGGCACAGAUAAUAAGACGUACAACAACAGGUGCUUGUUGUGUUCAGAAAUAUGGAAAACUAAAAACUUUAACCUUGGCAUAAAGCACCAUGGGAAAUGUAAAAAAUAGGCAGGCAAUGAGAACAACUGGCAUGCAGCAUGUAUAGCCAUAAAUUUGGUGUUUCCAAGAAAUCCCACUAGGCUUCUGCCUGUUCACAAAGACAGGCAGGCUAGACCUAAUAAUCUCUUCUUAUCUAAUGUAUUCUACCUCUCAGAAAUAAACUGACACAAACUGAG